rnacentral:lncRNA from 1 species
UGGUUAACUCGGGGUGAAUUAGGUUAUUUUUUUGUUCUUUUUUUAUUUGAUUUUUUUUCAAUUUAAUCCUUCAACAUUGGAUGGUUUGGGAAUUGGACUUCAUAAUUAUUAUUUUCUUUUUUUUCUAUAAAAUUAUCAUGAUCGUAUAACCCAGGACGUUUGUUAAGCUGAUUGACUCAAGUAGUUUUUUGUGUUCUUUUCCUAAUUGAUUUUUUU